rnacentral:rRNA from 1 species
GAUUAACGCUAGCGGCAGGCAUAAUACAUGCAAGUUGAACGGGAUAAGUUUAGCAAUAAACUUUGAGAGUGGCGCACGGGUGCGUAACACGUAUGCAACCUACCCGAUACAGGGGGAUAGCCUCUCGAAAGAGAGAUUAAUACCCCAUAACAUAGAGUAUAGGCAUCUAUAUUUUAUCAAAGUUCCGACGGUAUCGGAUGGGCAUGCGGUUGAUUAGCUAGUUGGUGAGGUAACGGCUCACCAAGGCGACGAUCAAUAGGGGGUCUGAGAGGAUGUCCCCCCACACUGGUACUGAGACACGGACCAGACUCCUACGGGAGGCAGCAGUAGGGAAUAUUGGUCAAUGGGGGCAACCCUGAACCAGCCAUGCCGCGUGCAGGAAGACUGCCCUAUGGGUUGUAAACUGCUUUUGUACGGGAAGAAAUGUCACUAUGCGUAGUGAUUUGACGGUACCGUAAGAAUAAGGAUCGGCUAACUUCGUGCCAGCAGCCGCGGUAAUAC